rnacentral:rRNA from 1 species
GAUGAACGCUGGCGGCGUGCCUAAUACAUGCCAGUCGAGCGAACAGACGAGGAGCUUGCUCCUUUGACGUUAGCGGCGGACGGGUGAGUAACACGUGGGUAACCUACCUAUAAGACUGGGAUAACUUCGGGAAACCGGAGCUAAUACCGGAUAAUAUUUUGAACCGCAUGGUUCGAUAGUGAAAGAUGGCUUUGCUAUCACUUAUAGAUGGAUCUGCGCCGUAUUAGCUAGUUGGUAAGGUAACGGCUUACCAAGGCAACGAUGCGUAGCCGACCUGAGAGGGUGAUCGGCCACACUGGAACUGAGACACGGUCCAGACUCCUACGGGAGGCAGCAGUAGGGAAUCUUCCGCAAUGGGCGAAAGCCUGACGGAGCAACGCCGCGUGAGUGAUGAAGGUCUUCGGAUCGUAAAACUCUGUUAUUAGGGAAGAACAAACGUGUAAGUAACUGUGCACGUCUUGACGGUACCUAAUCAGAAAGCCACGGCUAACUACGUG